CUCCGAUUGAGGAGCAGGGUUUAUCAGCAAAGAAUCAAACUAGCGUGAGCUAGUUACCGAGGACUCAAAUAAUCAAUCUGAAUAAGUCAUGGGCUUAUAAAUAGGAUGAAAGUGUGACUUAUCAACUGUCAACCGUGGUAUAUUUGACCACGGUGGUAUUGACGAGUAACAGAGAAUUUGGGUUCGAUUCUGGAGAGGGAGCUUUAAAGAUAGCUACCACAUCUAAGGAAGGCAGCAGGCACCAAAUUACCCAAUUGUCGAUGACAGAGGUAGUAAUAAUAAAUAACAAUACAGGACUCGUCCGAGGCCUUGUAAUUGGAAUGUUUUUAAGAUAAAGACAUGAAGGAGGAACUAUUAGAGGGCAAGUCUGGUGCCAGCAGCCGCGGUAAUUCCAGCUCUAAUAGCGUAUUUUAAUGUUGUUGCGGUUGAAAAGCUCGUAGUUGGAUAUCAUUGAUUGUAUAAGUUCAAUGUGAAUUGUUCUUAUACAGGAGAGGGAAGUCAAGCGGUGAUAAUAAACUUGAAUGUUUAUAUCCACAUAACGCCUGGCUUAAGUUACUUUGAAUAAAUCAAAGUGCUCAAUACAAGCUUUUGCUUGAAUAUAUGUGCAUGGGAUAACGCAAGAAGAUCAAUAUCGAAUCUGUUGGUUGAAUCGAUAUGGGUAAUGAUUAAUAGAGAUUGACGGGGGCAUUUGUAUUUGAAAGCGAGAGGUGAAAUUCUGUGACCUUUCAAAGACAUGCUAAAGCGAAAGCACUUGCCAAGAAUGUUUUCACUAAUCAAGAACGAAAGUUAGAGGCUCGAAGGCGAUUAGAUACCGCCCUAGUUCUAACCAUAAACAAUGCCAACUAACAAUCUUGUGUAGUUUAAGUUGAAACUAACAAGGAAGUUUUCGGAAAACCAAAGUUUUUGGGUUCCGGGGGUAGUAUGGUUGCAAAGCUGAAACUUAAAGUAAUUGACGGAGUGGCACCACCAGGAGUGGAGCCUGUGGCUUAAUUUGACACAACACGGGGAAGCUCACCAGGGCAAGACACUAUUAGGAUUGACAGAUUGAUAGCUCUUUCUCGAUAAAGUGGGUGGUGGUGCAUGGCCGUUCUUAGUUGGUGGAGUGAUUUGUCUGGUUAAUUCCGAUAACGAACGAGACUCUGACCAAUUACUAGUGAAAUC
rnacentral:rRNA from 1 species